UACGAAGGGGCUAGCGUUGUUCGGAAUUACUGGCGUAAAGCGCACGUAGGCGGAUAUUUAAGUCAGGGUGAAAUCCCGGAGCUCAACUCCGGAACUGCCUUUGAUACUGGGUAUCUUGAGUAUGGAAGAGGUAAGUGGAAUUGCGAGUGUAGAGGUGAAAUUCGUAGAUAUUCGCAGGAACACCAGUGGCGAAGGCGGCUUACUGGUCCAUUACUGACGCUGAGGUGCGAAAGCGUGGGAGCAACAGG
rnacentral:rRNA from 1 species